rnacentral:lncRNA from 1 species
UACUAUGAACUGCUCCUUCAAAGACAAUAUAUUGCUUCUCUCUUCUUUUCCCCCUCCCCACCCUAGUACAAGGAAAACAACCACACUUCAUUAGAAAAUUUGGACAUGCUGCUCUGCAAGAAGGGGAUGAUUUAAGUCUACACUGUACAAUAAAUGGAAGACCAAGGCCAAACGUCACUUGGACAAAAGAUGGCAUGACAGUGGCAGCAAAAGAAAUUAGUAUGGAGAAGUUAGGGGAUACCUAUUACCUUUUUAAAAGAAAUGCAGCCCUUGCUGACACUGGAAAAUAUAUGUGCCUCGCCACUAAUGAACUCGGGGAGGCAGACUGCUCAGCUUUCAUAAGAGUAAUAGAGAAGAAUAAAAAUGUACAUGUUCACCGUGCAACUGAGACUAAGUCAAAGCAAGAGAGGGACUCUUUGUCACAAAAAAUGAAGGCUGCCACACCUGAAGCAACCCAAGGUCAGAAUUCGCAUGGCUUGAGAAGUCAAAGGCAACCUAAAAAGCCUUCUGUGAGGUAA